rnacentral:misc_RNA from 1 species
GCACCUACCGAUUGAAUGGUCCGGUGAAGCCUCGGGAUUGUGGCGAGUUCCCUUUAUUGGGAGUUUGUCGCGAGAACUUGUCUAAACCUUAUCAUUUAGAGGAAGGUGAAGUCGUAACGAGGUUUCCGUAGGUGAACCUGCAGAAGGAUCAAGAUGGGAAGGGGGCGGGGUGGGGAAGGAUGGAAAUUCCGGGGGGCCGCGGUACCAUAAAAAAAAAAAAAGACAUUAGUCAUCUAUCGCGAUGAUUCGUGCCACAGUACACUCAAUCUGUCUAUAU